rnacentral:rRNA from 1 species
CCUGGUUCAGGAUGAACGCUAGCGGCAGGCUUAACACAUGCAAGUCGAGGGGCAGCACGGGUAGCAAUACUUGGUGGCGACCGGCGCAAGGGUGCGUAACGCGUGAGCAACAUGCCCGUAUCAGGGGAAUAAUCCAGGGAAGCUUGGUCUAAUACCCCAUAGCAAUUAUUUGAGGCAUCUUAAAUAAUUUAAAGCUUUGGUGGAUACGGAUUGGCUCGCGUGACAUUAGCUAGAUGGUAAGGUAACGGCUUACCAUGGCUACGAUGUCUAGGGGUUCUGAGAGGAAGAUCCCCCACACUGGAACUGAGACACGGUCCAGACUCCUACGGGAGGCAGCAGUGAGGAAUAUUGGACAAUGGAUGGAAAUCUGAUCCAGCCAUGCCGCGUGCAGGAAGACGGCCCUAUGGGUUGUAAACUGCUUUUGUAUGGGAGCAAUAAGGUCUAUGCGUAGACUGAUGAGAGUACCAUACGAAUAAGCAUCGGCUAACUCCGUGCCAGCAGCCGCGGUAAUACGGGGGAUGCAAGCGUUAUCCGGAUUUAUUGGGUUUAAAGGGUGCGUAGGCGGUUUGAUAAGUCAGCGGUGAAAUAUUUCAGCUUAACUGAA